rnacentral:rRNA from 1 species
GAUGAACGCUGGCGGCGUGCCUAAUACAUGCAAGUCGAGCGAACAGACGAUGAUCUUGCUCCUCUGACGUUAGCGGAACACGGGUGAGUAACGCGUGGAUAACCUACCUAUAAUACGGGUAUAACUUCGGAAAACCGGAGCUAAUACCGUAUAAGAUAUUGAACCGCAUUGUUCAAUAGUGAAUUACGGUGUUUCUGUCACGUAUAGAUGCAUCCCCGCCGCAUUAGAUGGUUGGUAAGUUAACAGGUUACCAAGGCAACGAGGCGUAGCCGAGCUGAGAGGGUGGUAGGCGACACUGGAACGGAGCCACGGUCAUGACUCCUGCGGGAGGCCGCAGUAGGGAAUCGUCGGCAAUGGGCGAAAGUUUGACAGAGUAACGCCGCGCGAGUGAUGACGGUCCUCGGUGCGUAAAACUCUGUUAUGAGGGAAGAACAACUGUGUAAGUAAAUAUGCACGUCUUGACGGUAACUAAUAAGAAAGCCACGGCUAACUACGUG